rnacentral:rRNA from 1 species
AACGCUAGCUACAGGCUUAACACAUGCAAGUCGAGGGGCAUCAGGAAGAAAGCUUGCUUUCUUUGCUGGCGACCGGCGCACGGGUGAGUAACACGUAUCCAACCUGCCGAUGACUCGGGGAUAGCCUUUCGAAAGAAAGAUUAAUACCCGAUGGUAUAUCUGAAAGGCAUCUUUCAGCUAUUAAAGAAUUUCGGUCAUUGAUGGGGAUGCGUUCCAUUAGGUUGUUGGCGGGGUAACGGCCCACCAAGCCAUCGAUGGAUAGGGGUUCUGAGAGGAAGGUCCCCCACAUUGGAACUGAGACACGGUCCAAACUCCUACGGGAGGCAGCAGUGAGGAAUAUUGGUCAAUGGACGAGAGUCUGAACCAGCCAAGUAGCGUGAAGGAUGACUGCCCUAUGGGUUGUAGACUUCUUUUAUACGGGAAUAAAGUUAGGCACGUGUGCCUUUUUGUAUGUACCGUAUGAAUAAGGAUCGGCUAACUCCGUGCCAGCAGCCGCGGUAAUACGGAGGAUCCGAGCGUUAUCCGGAUUUAUUGGGUUUAAAGGGAGCGUAGGCGGAUGCUUAAGUCAGUUGUGAAAGUUUGCGGCUCAACCGUAAAAUUGCAGUUGAUACUGGGUGUCUUGAGUACAGUAGAGGCAGGCGGAAUUCGUGGUGUAGCGGUGAAAUGCUUAGAUAUCACGAAGAACUCCGAUUG